AACGUAGGACGCAAGCGUUAUCCGGAAUUACUGGGCGUAAAGGGCGUGCAGGCGGUUUCCUAAGUCAGGCGUGAAAGCCACGGGCUAAACCUGGGGAGGACGUUUGAUACUGGGGGACUAGAGUGUGGUAGAGGGGUGUAGAAUUCCGGGUGUAGUGGUGAAAUGCGUAGAUAUCCGGAGGAAUACCAGUGGCGAAGGCGGCACCCUGGGCCAUAACUGACGCUAAGACGCGAAAGCAUGGGUAGCGAACGGG
rnacentral:rRNA from 1 species